rnacentral:rRNA from 1 species
GACAGAGGGUGCAAACGUUGCUCGGAAUUACUGGGCGUAAAGCGCGUGUAGGCGGCUUUGCAAGUCGGGUGUGAAAGCCCUCAGCUCAACUGAGGAAGUGCGCCCGAAACUGCAGAGCUUGAGUGCCGGAGAGGGUGGCGGAAUUCCCCAAGUAGAGGUGAAAUUCGUGAGAUAUGGGGAGGAACACCGGUGGCGAAGGCGGCCACCUGGACGGUAACUGACGCUGAGCACGCGAAAGCGUGGGGAGCAAACAGG